AGGUAUUGGCUUCACAAGGCUAUAUAGCCUAAGGAAGAUUAUUUUAUCUUGGAUUCUACCUUUGCUUCUCCGCUGAAACUUAAACUGUGGAAAGACUCUUCAAGAAAGCUAGCUGGGCCCCAAGCAAGGAAAGUAGAUUGUGAAGGAGAUAAUAAACUUGGGAGAGGGACCAGUGAUAUCAUAAGUUUCGAGGGAGUCCUUAUUUCAGUCAUGCUCAGUGACCACUUCAAACAGCUGUUCUACCUAUGAGUUUUAACUAAAGUUGCUUCUGGGGCAGGAAUUGCUUCUCAGCAUGGAGCUUCACAUGUGAGAACUUGAGGAAGAGACAUAUGCUCUGUUGUUAGCUCUUCCCUAACUUUCAGAAGAAACUGCCUUCAAAACACUGAACUAGCUCUGGCAAUGCAUGUGCUAACCUCAUUAUUAAUGUGGAUAUCCCUAGAAAGUAUAAUGGCAAGGGCACUUCAAGAUGGAAGUCUACUAGAAUAUGAAUUCAUUAUACCAGUUUUCAGAAGACAUGUCUAUCAAUUACUUAAGUGAAGUUACUGAAAUCCUUUGAAAAAUUCUGAAGAUAGAGAUUUUCAAUAUGAAAAAAGAUCUCACUGUUUCUAAGGCCCUUACAUUCUACUGAAAAUAUAUGGCAUAUACAAAGGUAAGUAUAGUAAAUACUAGAAGCUUGGGGAAUCUCUCACAAGUCCAUUUGUCUAGUACUUAAAAUAUGAGAAUGUGAAACAAUAUUAGCAGGAUAAAACUGCCUCAAAUGCUAGAUAAACAAAUUUGUGUUGAUCUCUAUACUCAAUAUUCCAUUUCCUCCCUUUCUACAUCUAUUCCUCAUAUGUCAAACUUUACUUCCUCAAUUUUCCCUUCAAAUUUAGAUGAAGAGCUACUUCCUAAAAAAGAGCCUUUUCCUAAUUCCUCUUAUUCAGUGGCAUGGGGUGACUAAAAUUUUUUGAACAAGGUAAUGAUGUGGUCAUGCAUUAGGCAGUUAUUUUUGGAAGCUGCACUAAGGAUGGAAUGUGAG
rnacentral:lncRNA from 1 species